rnacentral:rRNA from 1 species
GAUGAACGCUGGCGGCGUGCUUAACACAUGCAAGUCGAACGAUGAAGCCCAGCUUGCUGGGUGGAUUAGUGGCGAACGGGUGAGUAACACGUGAGUAACCUGCCCUUAACUCUGGGAUAAGCCUGGGAAACUGGGUCUAAUACCGGAUAGGAGCGUCCACCGCAUGGUGGGUGUUGGAAAGAUUUAUCGGUUUUGGAUGGACUCGCGGCCUAUCAGCUUGUUGGUGAGGUAAUGGCUCACCAAGGCGACGACGGGUAGCCGGCCUGAGAGGGUGACCGGCCACACUGGGACUGAGACACGGCCCAGACUCCUACGGGAGGCAGCAGUGGGGAAUAUUGCACAAUGGGCGCAAGCAUGAUGCAGCGACGCCGCGUGAGGGAUGACGGCCUUCGGGUUGUAAACCUCUUUCAGUAGGGAAGAAGCGAAAGUGACGGUACCUGCAGAAGAAGCACCGGCUAACUACGUG